CUGAUGUUAGCGGCGGACGGGUGAGUAACACGUGGGUAACCUACCUAUAAGACUGGGAUAACUCCGGGAAACCGGGGCUAAUACCGGAUAAUAUUUUGAACCGCAUGGUUCAAUAGUGAAAGACGGUUUCGGCUGUCACUUAUAGAUGGACCCGCGCCGUAUUAGCUAGUUGGUAAGGUAACGGCUUACCAAGGCGACGAUACGUAGCCGACCUGAGAGGGUGAUCGGCCACACUGGAACUGAGACACGGUCCAGACUCCUACGGGAGGCAGCAGGA
rnacentral:rRNA from 1 species